CACGAACACAAACGAGGUCAUUGGUACGCUUCAGGGCGAGCAAGCGUUAACUUUGAAUGUUUAAUGUACGAUGGGAUUACGAAGGUUUGAGAGAAAAACCCUGAUCUGUGGGUUUAGGAUGAGUUUAGGUGAGAAUUUAAAGCAUCUCAAUAAAUGGCUCUGACAUAAUAGAGUUUGAUCUUGAAGAAUCAGUCCAACGCUGUCUUAAAAGGUGCUGCAGGUCAGUUUUGAGAGCUCUAAUUAAAGUGUAAUCUCUUUAGAAAUGGGGGAUGCUCUGAAGAUCUUCUCACAGAACAGAUAUUCUAUGACAAGAUCUGUUCUGGUGGACUGUGUCUGACUCUGUUUGAUGGGGCGGAUCGGUUUGAGGUACAGCACAGUGUGUCUGACUCUGUUUGAUGGGGCAGAUCGGGUUGAGGUACAGCACAGUGUGUCUGACUCUGUUUGAGGGUAGAUCAGUUUGAGGUACAGCACAGUGUGUCUGACUC